rnacentral:lncRNA from 1 species
AGACAGGAAUACAACAAGUCAUCCUCUAAACCUCAAGAAGUCAGUCAGGUUGACCCUUUCGUAGAUGCUCUGAUUUCAACAACACUUGCAACAAGAAAAAUUCCCUUGCUGUCAGGCGUCAAGAUACAUUUCUGAUCAAAGGCAACAGGAAAGGGACAGAGUAUGCAGGCCUCUCCUUCCUGGAGAAAGGAAGGCUGACAAAUACAGAUGCUCUAAGGCCGACAGAGAAGAUUCUCUCUCAGAUUUUCCACUCUGUGUACCAGCCUUUGCGGUAAGCUUACAACCAGGCAAUACGUUUUCACCUAUAAUAGCCAGUCAUACAAGAGUACCCAAUUAUUUCAAUUAACAGGAAUUAAAACAAACUUUUUUCUAGAAAAAGAAGUAAUAAUAAUUCCAAAAGACAGCCCGACCUACAACAUAAGCAUUCCAAAUAAAUAAUUAGUAUGACAAUGAAAAAAGGAGAGCCUAGGACUGGGGAGAUCAGGACUACUCAUGUACUAGGCUCUACUCUGCCUUUCAAGAUAACGCAGGCAGCAGAAGGGGAACACGGCCCUUCUAAAACUAAAGAACAGUAAUGAAAAGAAAUCCAGACUCAGACUGAAAACAAGGAUUAUAUGUAUGAUGGAAAUUAGUGUGACUGUCACCAUGGAAGAGAAGAGACACAGAUGACUUAUUAAGAUGUGGAGUCACCUUUGCAGCUAAUAUGGUGGUGGCAGACAAAGUACGACAAGUACUGAAGACGACUACAUGGCAGAUGCUAAGACUAUUGUCUGAGCGUUCAAACACUCUUCAGGCAUGUGUGUGCAGUAUUACCUGUGACAAUAACAUACUCAGAGUCAGGAAGGAAUAUCUGAAUACAGAGUCAAAAAGGAUCAGUCUAGCAAAGAGACUAAGAAAGCAAUGCUGUGACAAAUUGUUCAGAGACCUGUUCCUUUGAGAACCUCUCCGGAUUAAAGCUACACUUCAUGUUAAGUAUCCCAUUUCAACAAGUACCAAAGGAUAGAAGUCACUUUAAACAGUGAGAAAGUUCUGUUUUUUUUUUUUUUAAAAAAAAAAACAACCACCCCAAACCAAAAGCAGCUAUAUACACUAUACAGACAGGUAAGAAAGGCUUCCCUGGUAUAGUGCUUAAGUCCAAUGCCUGCUGUGGUUUGUUUUAGUAAGAUUUGGCCAAGAAAAAUAAGCACAUGAAAUCCAAAGGAUUUCAAC